GUGCUUACAUAUGUGGGCUCUGGAGCCAGACUGCAUGGGUUUGAAUCCUGGCUCUGCCACUUACUGGCUGUGUGACCUUGGGCAAGUUCC
rnacentral:miRNA from 1 species